AUGGCACGGCCAUGGCCAUGGCGGCGGCCAGAUCCACCCCCUCCCUUGCUCCGUUCCCUCGACGCCCGACGGUCAUUCUCCCUUAGGCUACCCGCCCCCUUCUUCCUCCCACAGCGGCUCACCCGCAGCCUUCCCCGUGGCUCUAGGGUUUUGCGGGCGGCGGCGCCUCCAUUGCCGGCACGGCUCCGGCGACUCUACAGCCUCCCCCCGACAUCUACCGCGCUGAGACAGCCGCGUCUCCGACUUGCUGCUUACCCAAUGGCUGCUGCUGGACCCGAUCCCUCCUCGUUGCCUGGAUGCUUCCUCGACUCUCCCUCCUCCCCAACAAGGCCGUCGUCGGACACCUUCUUCCCCGACAGCGCCGGCCGCAGAUCCACUCCUCCACUUUCUUCUCACGGAUGUGGGUGGUGCAGUGGCCGCAAGAACACGCUCGACAGCGUGGGGUUACCCAAUGUUGGCAAAUCAACUUUCUUUAACAUAGUAACAAAGGACCCCAACAAGCCCACGCGCCCCCGAGUGCUUUCUUCAUCUUCAUCUGAGUCCCAGUCUUGGUUCCUGGUUCGAUUCGUGUUGCUUCUAUGGGACAACUUCAGGAAGGAGUACAAGGAGAAGCACCCCGACGUCAAGCAGGUCUCCGUGAUUGGCAAGGCCGGUGGUGAGAAGUGGAAGUCCAUGAGUGAUGCUCCGGAGAACGAAAAUCAUGGUGUUCCGCUCUUGCACACGUCUGGCACCGUCUCCGGCGCGGUGGUGCUUCUUGAGGCGACUGGCGUGAUGGCGGCUGUGUACGGAGGCGACCACAAGCCCUCCGGUGAGUCGGUUCCAUCUUCUAGCCCUAGCUCCUGCUUUUCUGCUCCUAUAGCAUGCUCUGUUGGUUUAGAACACUGGCAACAGUAG
rnacentral:rRNA from 1 species